AAUACUCUGACUUCCGAUGUCUCAAAGUAACCCAGAGUUCUACCCUGACCUGGGAUGUCCUGCUAGUUCCCCGGAGUCAGAAGAUAAUUCUCCAAAUGUGCCAACGGUCAAGUGGAAUGCUUCUUAUUCCCCAUGGGAAUGGGAUGCACUGACAUGGGAUGUCUCAUUAGAACCCCAAGGAACUCAGACUAUGAGAUCAUGACCUGUGCCGAAUUCGGACGCCGAACCAGCUGACCCACUCAGGCGCCCCGGUUGUUAAAGGAGGGAAGUCUCGGAGCAGGUCGGGUACCUUGUGCGGAGCAGGUGAGAGCUGAUUGGCUGACCUAGGCCUUCCUCUUCAGGGAGAGCAGAGCAUAGAAACUUCUCCAGGUUUGACUGCCCCGACGUUGGAAGUCUGCCAAUUUUCCCGUGGGUCUACACUGAUCAAGGAUAUUCCCCUAAAUCUCUAGGUGUUGACCUGGGAUGUGUAAUUCCUCCUCUGUGUGUCCACUGACUUGAGAGGUCUCGUGUUUAUUGGUACCACUCUGGAAGUCCCCUCUCUGCUCUGUUGUAUUCUGAUGCAGCACGUCUGCUUACUUCCCCAAGUCCACCCACCCUGACCUUCAGGGUCUCCACGACUCCUGAGAUGUUAUCUCAGCUCACCUGGACCGCUGACUAGUUCCCCAGAUGUGUCUACAAAAAGCGGUAUUUUAUUGUAAUAUACCAGUUAUGUCUACGCUGACCUGAGCGGUCUUAAUUCCCCAAGUGUGUCAACACUAACCUAGUAUGAUUCCAUAGAUUCCCAGCUGUGUCUGCCUCGACAUUGGAUGUCUCCACUUGAUCUAGUAUCUCAGGCAUGUCCACUCUGACCCGGAACAUCUAACACCUCAGGUGUGGCCACUUUGCCCUGGAGCCUCCCUGGUUCCCCAGUUGUGCCUGCCGUAAUCUGAGAUGUCAAACUCAGACGUGUCUACUCAUACCUGGGAUGUCUAAUCCACAGAUGUGUCCACGCUGAACAGGGAUGGCUUCCUAAAACCCCAGCUGGGUCUAUCCUGACCCGGGAUGUGUCCCAAAUUUUCAAGGAGUGUCUCCUCUGAGCUGGGAUGUCUCAUUCUCCAGAUUUCUCUCUCUGGACCUUGAACAUCUCCGUUCUUCAGGACUGUCCAGCGUAUCCUGAGACGUAUGCCUUUGUCCUUCUCCGUGUCUACUGUGAAUCUGGAGGUCUCGUUCCUCAGGUCAUCCACCUUGACCUGUGAAGUCUCCCGAACUCCACAAGUGUGUUCACAGUGACCUGAGGUAUCUCCCUAUCUCUCCAUGUGUUCUGAUCUGUGAUGUCUCUAAGUCCCCAGGUGUGUCUGCAUUGAUUACAGUGACCCUUUAAUGCACCAGGCUCUCCCCGGGUCCCCAGAUGUGUCUACCCUGAUACGUGAUGUCCCCUGAGUUCCCCUCUGUUUCUAUUUUGAUGUGGAAUGUCUACAGUAACCUGGAAUGUCUCCUUAAUUCCCCAGAGUCUUCAGUAAACACUAAUCGUGAUCUCCAUGCGAGCUGAAGAACCUAAUGAGAUUCUGGUUCAUGAUCUUCAGUGUCCAAAGAAGGGUCACGUGAUGCUAAACAGUCAGCCGCUCUCCGUUCAACAGGGAGAGUGAUCGACGGGAAGGGACUGGUUUUUCUGUUA